rnacentral:rRNA from 1 species
GCGGCGGACGGGUGAGUAACACGUAGCAACCAACCCUCGAGCGGGGGACAACCCAGGGAAACUUGGGCUAAUACCGCAUAAGGCCACGGGCUGAGAGGCCAGUGGUAAAGGAGCAAUCCACUUGGGGAUGGGCCUGCGGCCUAUCAGGUAUUGGUGGGGUAAGAGCCCACCAAGCCUCUGACGGGUAGCCGGACUGAGAGGUUGAACGGCCACACUGGAACUGAGAUCGGUCCAGACUCCUACGGGAGGCAGCAGUGGGGAAUUUUGCGCAUGGGGGAAACCCUGACGCAGCGACGCCGCGUGGAGGAAGAAGGUCUUCGGAUUGUAAACUCCUUUUGUAGGGGACAAUAGUGAUGGUACCCUACGAAUAAGCCACGGCUAAUCUGUG